UAAUAAUAAUAAAUAAAAAGGAUAAAAUUACAUUUUUUACUAGGAACAGUCAAAAAGUAAAAAAGUUGUGCGUUUUCGUAAUAUAUAAUAAUUUGGUUUUACAAGAUGAAUCACCCAGAGUAGCAAUCGGAGGGUCAAGUUUCCCUGGAGGUAAAUGUGAUGGUAAAUGAGCCGACUGAUCUGGGAUGUGUUAGAGGUGGCUGAUGUGGGAGUGGAGCUGUUCUUGUUGCCCCUCACGAUGUCUUCCAAUUUGUGGUAGGAUUCUGUCUAUUCACUUUCAUCAUCACUUUCCUGAAAGUUCAAAUGGUUCACAUUCCUUUCUAGCGGUGGAAGUCCAUCUUCUGAAUCACUAGAAGCAUCCUCAUCUUUGCUUGUUUCUGCUCCUAUAGCACAGAAAGCUGACAUUCUUCAUUAUAUAACUAAUUUUUAGGAAGUGUCCCACAAAUGUUAGUAAAUUUAGUAUAAUCAGCAAUGUAAUCAGAGGCCAAACUUGCAGUCAUUAUUAGCAUAAUUCAAAGUCACAGGCAUAGCAAAAUUAGGGAAGAUGGUAUAAACCAAUAUUUCCAGAUUACUAAAUUACACUCAAGAUUUGCUCAGUGGCUCACCAAUUCCAGAACAGCAGAUCAGCUAUCCCAUUGGAUAUGGAUAUUCAGUGUGGAGGUAAACAAUACACUUCUUUUACAGUUAAUAAUAGAAAUGGCAUUGCAUUAUUUUCAUAUAUAAGACCUAUAAAAGUAGCAUUAUGAUGUGAAAAGAGAAAUCUCGACUACCAGCAAAAAAGUACCUUCAACAUCUGGGACAGCUUUUGGAACCUGAUUUUGCAGGGAAAGCCAAUCAUUUUGAACAGAAAUAAUGGCCGCACUAUUUUCACACUCAGAGUAUGCCUUUAGAAGUUCCCUAUUGAGGCUCAGGAAUGCAUGACCCCAUUUGAACUUGCCCAGCAACAAAUUUGCAGUUUCCUUUUCCCCACUGUCAGAAAAUAUAACAGCAGCGUUAAAUCACAGCUAUUUUGACUAACAACAUGAAUUCGUGACUCUUACCCAACAAAAAAGCAAUCUUGAACAAUAUCUACCAAUAUUAUGAAAAUUGUGUAAGAAACGGGUUACUUUUUGAAGAUGGCUUAGACUUGGUUACGAAUAUCUGAUCCAUAUGCAUGUCCAAAGGUCAGACUUUUCAUGAUUUCAUAGAUUUUCCCUUCAAGUUGAAGCAUCAAAGUGUCAAACGAAUGUUCAAGAAUCCUUAUCCGUAAAGGGUACUUUAGAUUAAUGUGAGCAGUUGAAGUAACAGCUAUAUGCUAUAUCAAUUAUGAUCAUCCAAACUAACAAUAAAUAAGAUGACUGCCUUUAGCACCUCCACAAUCCAGUCACCUACUUAAACUGUACUCUCUUGUUUCACCAAAAUCACCUGUAUACCAGCACAACAAUUACAUGUGCCACUAUCACAACUGUCAGCAUUAACAUAACCACCUUGCCACAGCUGCCAAUUAAUACUACUUAGACUGACAUAAAUAUCAUAUCUUGCUUUGGUUUUUCAUACCUUAUAUAUCUCUUUAUUUUCAGCAUGAAGAAGAUAUUAAGAGUUCAUUUGGUUCCUAUUUUUAAGAAAUAUAUUCUGAUAGGAUAAAAGGGAAAACUGUCUUCUAAGAUAUGAAACUUCAGAUGAUUUUCUCUUAGAAGAGUUUAUCAAACGGUGAACUAGCCAAAAAUCCCAUAUUUUUUACAAAGUUGCUUGCUGAGUUAACAAAAACUAUUUUGAAGAUAAAUUCUCUUGAAAACAAUGAAAGAAAUGACAAUAUCUUUCAUUAGCACUGUCAGAAAAUGAUUUGUCAACCA
rnacentral:misc_RNA from 1 species